rnacentral:rRNA from 1 species
CCUACGGGAGGCAGCAGUGGGGAAUAUUGGGCAAUGGAGGAAACUCUGACCCAGCGACGCCGCGUGCGGGAUGAAGGCCUUCGGGUUGUAAACCGCUUUCAGCAGGGAAUAAGCGCAAGUGAAGGUACCUGCAGAAGAAGCACCGGCUAACUAUGUGCCAGCAGCCGCGGUAAUACAUAGGGUGCAAGCGUUGUCCGGAAUUAUUGGGCGUAAAGAGCUCGUAGGUGGUUUGUUACGUCGGAUGUGAAAAUCAGGGGCUCAACCCCUGACCUGCAUUCGAUACGGGCAAGCUGGAGUUUGGUAGGGGAGACUGGAAUUCCUGGUGUAGCGGUGGAAUGCGCAGAUAUCAGGAGGAACACCGAUGGCGAAGGCAGGUCUCUGGGCCAAUACUGACACUGAGGAGCGAAAGCGUGGGGAGCGAACAGGAUUAGAUACCCUGGUAGUCCACGCCGUAAACGGUGGGCACUAGUUGUGCGAACCUUCCACGGUUUGUGCGACGCAGCUACGCAUAGUGCCCGCCGUCGGGAGGUACGAGUCGCGAAGAAUUAAACUAACAAAGGAAGUUAGACGGCGUGAGACGUGCCGAACGGACGACGACGAGGGAGGUAGG